UAUUGAUUCUUUUUUUUACGUUCACAAUUUUUUCUGUUGCCUUUUUUUUUAAUGAGUUUUUGCAGAAUUCUGCGAUUCUAAUGAAAUAUCGAAUCCUUCGUUUCAGCGAAAUGGCGAAUCUGACAACCGCUUAUACUAACAACCGUCCGCUGUAAAAAAUGUUUUCAUAAAUAUGGUAUCUUUCCACGUAAAAAUAUUCCAUUAUUAUUAAUUAUGUUUAACAAGUGUAAUAGCACGUCAUCUAUGUUGUUAGUUGCUCAGAAACAGUAAUACGAACAUAUUUAAAAAAAUAAAUGUAGUCAUAGAGAGAAGUUCCAUGCAAUGACUACGAUCAAUGCUAAGGACACAGCUAAAGGAAAAAACACAGCUAAAUAUAGAAUUAAAUAUGAAGAAGUGUAACGAAUUUUCAUUGUGAAUUACAGUCUGAUUUGCACGUAUAGCACGACUUGUUAUAUGACGAUUUGUGG